ensembl:lncRNA
GGGAGGUGAGAAACGUACGUGACUUUCUCCUCAUGCACACGCUCCACUUAGUGGCUGUAGCUUUUGGUUCUUUGGGAACAAGUAACCAUUUCGUUGGCCUUGAAGGUGCAAAAUGGAAUUUUUGUUUACUUUACGUUGCCUCUUUACGCAGUGACAAUAGCCUUAGCCAUGCUUUUACUGCCAAUCUCCUUCACACGAUGGCUACUGUUUGCACUGUAGUUCGGAACAACGACGACAAAAAUCGACAUUUUGGACGAGUUUGUUUUUUUUUUCUCUCUCUCUCUUUUUUUUUGGAUAAGAUCGGAGAAAGUUCUUAGUUCAGAGGAACUUGAUUCAGUAUUCAGUCGAAAACGUUUAAAUGAAUAGAAAUGUUCAGUGGAUUGUUUCGAAAUGAAAAUAUCUUCAAAGAAAUAAAUAAAUAAAUAAAUAACCAUAAAAGUUAAUGGUCUGCGGAGGUGACGCUUUCAGCCGGUAACGUCCUUUAAUAAAACUAGAACACGAUUUCACACAAAUUCCUAAAAUAUUGAACCGGCCAAAAAGAAAAAAAAAAAAAAAAAGGUUAAAUAAACAAAAUAAAGAGGGAUUUUUAUGAACUCGGAUAUCGGGUGGUCGUGACAGGACGUGUAAAUUCUGUACAUAUUCAAGUUUGCCAUCAAGAAAUCUGUAAACGCUUCCUCCCUUCGUUCCUCCCGACAGAAAUUCAACUCAAGCUUUGAAUUAUGUUCAGGAUAAACGGGUCGAGGUACAGUCCGUUAAUUAGAGACACAUUCUCAGGCCAUGUUUUUCUCUUUUAGGUAUCUUUCAAAAAAAUAAUAAACGAAUAAAAUUAACCGUAAAAGUUAAUGGUCUGCAGAUAUUAGUCCAUAAAGUCCUCUAUCACGGGUUUAACGUAGCAGUACGCUCUCAUGAUCGCACGCUUGUAAGAAUUCGUAACAAAACUGCUUGAUAACAAUCCGUAAUAAAGUUCCACAGGUCUGAUUAUGAAAUAUCGGAGGAAAAGUCCAAGUGUGACAAUGUGGACUCUUUUUUUUUUUUACAACCAUCGGCGAUUAAAAAUCUUUAACGUUACGUUACGAUCUCCAGACCAGGGAUUUGGGAGAAAUGAACAAUGAACACUUUGCGUACGACAAAACGCGUUCGUGAAAAAUGUUCUCAAUUUGUCGGAGCUGUAGCCAGUGUGAAAAGCCACCGAUUCUACAGAUUCGAGAAACGGGGGCGGAGCUAGCGGUUAAAAUGAAACGACUCGUCGGAAUUCUUACAGCGUUCUUGUGAGAUCGGUUUGACGAAAAACACAAACGUCGCUCACUUGUUUGCUCGGUGAGAAAAAGCCACACUCGGGAGGAGAAUCUUGUAUAGAAAUUAGAAUCUGAUGCUGUAGAAAGAUCCCAGUUGCCUUUGUGUAUAUCGACUGCCUGCUUUUGUGUGUGGAAAAUUUCUGUGUAAUCUUGUAGUGUUUUUUCCUCUUCUCUUUUUAUUUCUCUCUCUCUCUCUCUCUCUCUCUCGCUCUCUCUCUCUCUUCCCUGCCAUAAAUCUGGGUUAUACGGUUCUAUUGCGUGUGUAAACCUUCAUUUUUCGACGAGGUGUUUUACGAUUGCGUUCGACUUUGUGUAGUGAUUCACUCUGUGAAGUUUCUGACUGUUGUUAUAUAACUUCUUCAUAUACACAAAAUGUUCAAUAAAAAUGUUUUAUUUCCUGUUGAUACAGAACACA